UAAAACGUAGGAGGCGAGCGUUAUCCGGAUUCACUGGGCGUAAAGCGCGUGUAGGCGGUCGGUCAAGUCGGCUGUUAAAGCCCCUGGCUUAACUGGGGGAGGCCAGCCGAGACUGCUCGACUUGAGGGUAGUAGAGGAGAGUGGAACUCCCGGUGUAGCGGUGGAAUGCGUAGAGAUCGGGAAGAACACCAGUGGCGAAGGCGACUCUCUGGGCUACACCUGACGCUGAGACGCGAAAGUGUGGGGAGCAAACGGGAUUAGAUACCCCGGUAGUCCACACCCUAAACGAUGAGGGCUAGGUGUUGGUGGGAUUUCCCAUCUGUGCCGUAGCAAACGCGUUAAGCCCUCCGCCUGGGGACUAUGAGCGCAAGCUUA
rnacentral:rRNA from 1 species